AGAGUUUGAUCCUGGCUCAGGAUGAACGCUAGCUACAGGCUUAACACAUGCAAGUCGAGGGGCAGCAUGAAGUUUGCUUGCAACUUUGAUGGCGACCGGCGCACGGGUGAGUAACGCGUAUCCAACCUUCCCUAUACUAGAGGAUAGCCCGGCGAAAGUCGGAUUAAUACUCUAUGUUGUAUUUCGAGGACAUCUGAAUAAUACCAAAGGUUUACCGGUAUAGGAUGGGGAUGCGUCUGAUUAGGUUGUUGGCGGGGUAACGGCCCACCAAGCCUACGAUCAGUAGGGGUUCUGAGAGGAAGGUCCCCCACAUUGGAACUGAGACACGGUCCAAACUCCUACGGGAGGCAGCAGUGAGGAAUAUUGGUCAAUGGACGAGAGUCUGAACCAGCCAAGUAGCCGUGCAGGAUGACGGCCCUAUGGGUUGUAAACUGCUUUUAUACAGGGAUAAAGUGACGUACGUGUACGUUUUUGUAGGUACUGUAUGAAUAAGGACCGGCUAAUUCCGUGCCAGCCGCUGC
rnacentral:rRNA from 1 species